rnacentral:lncRNA from 1 species
GUGCUGUGCCUAGUGUUUUGCCCUGACCAGAGUCCAUGUAGGGAACACGACCUGCUUGGAUAAAAGAAGAGCUGCCAAAUGACUGUGCUUGACAAAUGGGCCAGGCAGCAAGAAGGGCAACGCAGAAGCAAAGUGGUUUGAGUCUCCGCGAUGUCUACUUCAUGUUCAGGAACUGAAGAGGAGGGAACUCUGGUGUUUGCAUAAUCAUCGCCUUCCCAUGUUAAGAGGACUCACCCUAGUAGGCUUAAUGGGUUUUGUAUUUGGUUGGCUUGUUUUCCCAAGAGACACUAAAGUUGUUCUUGCAUUAAUUCCCCUUAAAAUUGCCGAGAGAUAAGAGGUGGGAAGACAAAAAGGGCGCCUGAUUCUAUUCAGUAGAUGAGAAAAUAGAUUUACAGAAGGUAACUGUGAAAUUGGAGGAGUAAUGUCAGGGAGGCCUUGUCAGGACCAGGCAAUGUCAAGGAAGCCUAUCCCUUCUUUGUCAGACUCCAGAAAGGAUUGAGUUCAUCUGUUCUUCACAGAUCCACUUUCCUAGGCAGAUGCCAGUGCCUUCCAGGUUUGUAUGAAAGCAAAAAACUGCUGACGAUGGGCAGAGGGCCUGUCCCAAACCACUAGGAAGCAGGAGAGGGCAGGACUCUCAGUGAAUCCCAGAUGUAUCCACCUGUGCUGAAGGCUAACCCCCAACCUGUUUGGUGAUGUGUGAGCAGCCAGUUGGUUUCAUGGGUCAGAAGAGUGUGGUAAUGGUACCUGGAAUCCUGCAAAAUGCAUGGAAACAAGGAAGAGCAGAUCCUUAUUCCAACAUGAACAGCAGGACUUAUAAGGAAAGCAGGCUUUUCCCCAUGACCUCACAGCUCUGCCUCCACCUUUCAUCUCUUCACAGUGAGCUUUCUUUCAGAGUGAUCUUACCACCCAACCAGGCACAGUCUAAUUUGAUCAUAACAAGGAGGAGGCCGGGCACAGUGGCUCAUGCCUAUAAUCCCAGCACUUUGGGAGGCUGAGGUGGGUGGAUCACUUAAGCCCAGGAGUUUCAGACGUACCUGGGCAACAUGGAGAAACCCUGUCUCUACAAAAAUUAGCUGGGCAUGGUGGUCUAUGCUUACAGUCCCAGCUACUCAGUUGGCUCAGGCAGGAGGAUUGCUUGAGCCCGGGAGGCAGAGUUUGCAGUGAGCUGAGAUUGUGCCACUGUAAUACAGCCUGGGAAACAGAGCAAGAUCCUGUCUCAAACAAAACAAAACAAAAAAACACCAAAUAAACGAUAAGGAAGUCACCCUGUCCAAGGAAUGCAGUUUCAUAUGGCGCCACCCCUUCUCCUAGACCAAAGUUCCCAUUUUAGAAAUAAGACUCCAUGCUAGGCAAGGUUGUAACGGAAAAGAAAGGCUCUACCUCCAGCCUCCCAGAUCACCCCAUCUCUACUGGCUCUCCAGAACCCAGUGGGGCUCAUAGCUAUUCCUAAGCCAGGCCACAAUUCCUACCAGCCCAUGACUAGGUCCAAAGUCCAUGCAACAGAAAGAGGAGCAGGGGCCGGGGUGGGGGUGUGCCUUUAAAGAUCCGGAUUAUGGUUUUUAGCCUGGGUUCAACUGUAGCAUAACCACUACAGACUAAUGACCGCUAUGAGACAGUUUUUCCUUUCACACGGCAGCAUCAUUUAUCUGGUAGUAGCAAGACAGCCGUAUGACUUUUUUUGUUGUUAAAGAAAAAUAAGUUGUCAAGAUUUGCCUACCAAUAAUUUUCCUAUGUCUUGGCUUUCAUGUCCAGUGGGCUAGUUUCCAACUGUUUGAGACUCAGGGUAAUCCCAGAAACCUGUGAAGCAUGGGCACAAAGGUUGUAGCGCAGAUGCCAACAGAUGUGUAGGUAACAAACUUGUAAGGCACUUCAAUCUCCAGUCUCCGCCUGGCCUCCUUGUUCCUGGUGACCACCUUGAACCAUGAGUAUAAUACUUGCAGUGAGAGAUUUUGUACAAGCUGACGAACCAAGAGGAUCAACACAAUUCCCACUGCAAAUUUGGUCAGACCCAAAACUAACAUGUAGGUGGUGAGCGGUGGGAUGUUCUGAAUAACAGGGAGAGAUUCAGCGGGCUUGGAUACAAGCUGGAAGAAAUGGUUGAUCCAGAAUCCUAUGGUCACUCCAGCCCCGGCAGCCAGAAUGGUGGUGGUGUCCGCCCGGGUUGGGCUGUAGUAAUCAGAAACAGGGUAAUUGUAACACAGGAAGAAUGGCACAACUAUGACACACACGGGGAAGAGGGGGCUGGCCGAGUCCAGGCAGUCGAUGAAGGUCCAGGCAGGGUAGGUGAGGACGAUGAGGAGUGCGGUGAUCAGGACGCCACCCAGCACAUCCUUUGGGAAGGAGAGAAAAGAACAGUGUGAACCAAUGAGUGUUUCCUUGUAUACAGGUAUAAUUUGAAUCAAGUAUGGCUAAUUUGAUAUUUAAAACACAGUUUUUGCAUUGUUUUAUUUUACAGUACAUGUUCAAAGAAAAUGUAAAGUUCUAAAACUUUGAAGUGAAAAUACGAAAAAAUGCUUCUAACAACCAUACUACUCAUGUUACAUAUCUUCUUUCACCUUUUUUACCUUUUGGAAUAAAUUCUGUAUUUGUUUUCUUAAUGAAUAACUGUAAUCUCAUUGUCCUUCAAACUUAUAUAAAUCUAGUAUUUCGACACUUAUAUCACAAAUACUGUCACCGUCUUCACCGAGGUGUCACCAUCCUUUCAUCCACCUGGGGGUUGGGCUGCAGGCUGGCUAAAGGAGGAAGCUCGCUUCUGGGGGAGCCAAAUAUACACAGUAAGCACAUCAGUGUUAUGUAGAGGACAUGUUCCUUUGGGGUGGUUUGAGGAGACAUUUGGAUGUGGUAGCACCAAAGUUCUUCUGUGUCAGCCUUGACACUACUACCCCACCUUCAGAGACAGGAUUUCAAAUAGCGUGCAUACAAUUUCAUUGAGCAGUUGUACCAUGCUUUAUUUAAUUAAUCCCAUUCUUUAGAACAGUGGCUUGCUUUCUUCCAUC